rnacentral:rRNA from 1 species
CGGUUGAUCCUGCCGGAGGUUACUGCUAUCGGUGUUCGACUAAGCCAUGCGAGUCAUAUGUUCUUCGUGAACAUGGCGGACUGCUCAGUAACACGUGGAUAACCUGCCCUUAGGUUUGGCAUAACUCCGGGAAACUGGAGAUAAUUCCGAAUAGGUCAAAUAUGCUGGAAUGCUUUUUGGCCAAAAGACUUCGGUUGCCUAAGGAUGGAUCUGCGGUCUAUCAGGUUGUAGUGGGUGUAACGUACCUACUAGCCUACGACGGAUAUGGGUUGUGAGAGCAAGAGCCCAGAGAUGGAUUCUGAGACAUGAAUCCAGGCCCUACGGGGCGCAGCAGGCGCGAAAACUUUACAAUGCGGGAAACCGCGAUAAGGGGACACCGAGUGCCAGCAUUUAUGUUGGCUGUCCACAUGUGUAAACGGCAUGUGUUAGCAAGGGCCGGGCAAGACCGGUGCCAGCCGCCGCGGUAACACCGGCGGCCCGAGUGGUAAUCACUUUUAUUGGGUCUAAAGGGUCCGUAGCCGGUUUGAUCAGUUCUUCGGGAAAUCUGACAGCUCAACUGUUAGGCUUCCGGGGAAUACUGUCAGACUUGGGACCGGGAGAGGUAAGAGGUACUACAGGGGUAGGAGUGAAAUCUUGUAAUCCCUGUGGGACCACCAGUGGCGAAGGCGUCUUACCAGAACGGGUCCGACNGUGAGGGACGAAAGCUGGGGGCACGAACCGGAUUAGAUACCCGGGUANUCCCAGCCGUAAACGAUGUUCGCUAGGUGUCAGGGGCGGUGCGACCGCUUCUGGUGCCGUANGGAANCCGUGAAGCGAACCACCUGGGAAGUACNGCCGCANGGCUGAAACUUAAANGAAUUGGCGGGGGANCNNNNGGGCGAAUUCCAGCNCACUGGC